CUAUCAGAGAGUCGCGACUUCUAGGAGACGCGAAACUCUGAGAUAAAAGUUAUUACAACUUUCAGCAAUGGAUCUCUUGGCUCUCGCAUCGAUGAAGAACGCAGCGAAAAGCGAUAUGUAAUGUGAAUUGCAGAUCUACAGUGAAUCAUCGAAUCUUUGAACGCACCUUGCGCUCCUCGGUGUUCCGAGGAGCAUGCCUGUUUGAGUGUCAGUAAAUUCUCAACCCUUCUUGAUUGAGGGAGUUUGGAUAGUGGGGGUUGCUGGAGACUUUUAUUAGACUCGAGCUCUCCUGAAAUGCAUCGGCUUGCGGUCGACUUUCGACUUUGCGCGACAAGGCUUUCGGCGUGAUAAUGAUCGCCGUUCGCUGAAGCGCAUGACUGAAGGUUUCGCGCCUCUAAUACGUCGACUCUUAUUAUCUCUUCGGAGAGAAAAGGUCUUCUUUAUUGACUUUUGACCUCAAAUCAGGUAGGACUACCCGCUGAACUUAA
rnacentral:rRNA from 1 species